rnacentral:rRNA from 1 species
UACAUGGGGUGCAAACGUUGCUCGGAAUUAUUGGGCGUAAAGCGCGCGUAGGCGGUUACUUAAGUCGGAUGUGAAAGCCCUUGGCUCAACCGAGGAAGUGCAUCCGAGACUGAAUAGCUAGAGUACGAAAGAGGGUCGCGGAAUUCCCGGUGUAGAGGUGAAAUUCGUAGAUAUCGGGAGGAACACCGGCGGCGAAGGCGGCGACCUGGUUCGAGACUGACGCUGAGGCGCGAAAGCGUGGGGAGCAAACAGG